AGCGCACGCUGGCGGCAGGCCUAACACAUGCAAGUCGAACGAAGUCUUCGGACUUAGUGGCGGACGGGUGAGUAACACGUGGGAACGUACCUUUUGGUUCGGAACAACUCAGGGAAACUUGAGCUAAUACCGGAUGAGCCCUUAGGGGGAAAGAUUUAUCGCCGAAAGAGCGGCCCGCGUUAGAUUAGCUAGUUGGUGAGGUAAAGGCUCACCAAGGCUACGAUCUAUAGCUGGUCUGAGAGGAUGAUCAGCCACACUGGGACUGAGACACGGCCCAGACGCCUUCGGGUGGCAGCAGUGGGGAAUCUUGCGCAAUGGGCGAAAGCCUGACGCAGCCAUGCCGCGUGAAUGAUGAAGGUCUUAGGAUUGUAAAAUUCUUUUACCAGGGACGAUAAUGACGGUACCUGGAGAAAAAGCCCCGGCUAACUUCGUGCCAGCAGCCGCGGUAACAC
rnacentral:rRNA from 1 species